UAGUCCACGCCGUAAACGAUGGAUACUAGGUGUUCGGAGUGUUAACCCUCUGAGUACCGGAGCUAACGCAUUAAGUAUCCCGCCUGGGGAGUACGGUCGCAAGGCUAAAACUCAAAGGAAUUGACGGGGGCCCGCACAAGCGGUGGAGUAUGUGGUUUAAUUCGAAGCAACGCGAAGAACCUUACCUGGACUUAACAUUCAGUGCCAACUCUAGAGAUAGAGUGUUCUCUUCGGAGACGCUGGGAUAGGUGCUGCAUGGCUGUCGUCAGCUCGUGUCGUAAGAUGUUGGGUUAAGUCCCGCAACGAGCGCAACCCUUGCCCUUAGUUGCUACCAUUAAGUUGGGCACUCUGAGGGGACUGUCGGUGUUAAACCGGNGGAAGGCGGGGAUGGACGUCAAGUCCUCAUGGCCCUUACGGUCCAGGGGCUACACACGUACUGCAAUGGC
rnacentral:rRNA from 1 species